rnacentral:rRNA from 1 species
GACGAACCGUGCUAACGUUGUUCGGAAUCACUGGGCUUAAAGGGCGCGUAGGCGGCUUCCCAAGUCCGGGGUGAAAUCUUUCGGCUUAACCGGAAAAGUGCCUUGGAUACUGGGAGGCUCGAGGGAGGUAGGGGCAAGCGGAACUUCCGGUGGAGCGGUGAAAUGCGUUGAUAUCGGAAGGAACGCCGGCGGCGAAAGCGGCUUGCUGGACCUCAUCUGACGCUGAUGCGCGAAAGCUAGGGGAGCGAACGGG